rnacentral:tRNA from 1 species
GCGCCCAUAGCUCAGCUGGAUAGAGUGUUUGACUACGAAUCAAAAGGUCGGGAGUUCGAAUCUCUCUGGGCGCACCA